GUUGAACUUGAGUUUGUGGCGUUUGUUGAACUUGACCUUGUGGCGUUUGUUGAACUUGAGUUUGUGAAGUGUUUGAACUUGAGUUUGUGAAGUGUUUGAACUUGAGUUUGUGAAGUGUUUGAACUUGAGUUUGUGUUUUUUUUAACUUGAGGUUGUGGCAAUUGUUAAACUUGAGAAUCGGGUGUUGGUUGAACUUGAGUUUGUGGUGUUCAUUGAACUUGAGUUUGUGGAAUAUUUGAACUUGAGUUUUUUAUGUUUUUUGAACUUGAGGUUCUGGUGUUUUUGAACUUGAGUUUGUGUGUUUUUUGAAUUUGAGGUUGUGGAAAUUGUUAAACCUGAGAAUCGGGUGUUGGUUGAACUUGAAACUGUGACAUUUGUUGAACUUGAGUUUGUGGUGUUUGUUGAACUUGAGUUUGUAUCGUGUUUGAAAUUGAGUUUGUGGUGUUUUUGAACUUGAGUUUGUGUGUUUUUUGAAUUUGAGUUUGUGGUGUUUUUGAACUUCAUUUUGUGGCACUUUUUUAACUUGAGUUUGUUGACCUUUAGUUUUUGGCAAUUGUUAAGUGUGAGUUUAGGUCAUUUGUUGAACUUGAAAUUUUGGAAUUUGUUGAACUUAAGAUUGUGGUGUUUGUUGAACUUGAGUUUGUGGCAAUUGUUGAACUUGAGUCUGUAUUUUCUCUGAACUUUAGUUGGUGGCAAUUGUUGAACUUGAGUUUGUGGUGUUUUUGCACUUGAGUUUGUGUCGAGUUUGAACCUGAGUUUGUGUUGUAUUUGAACUUGAGGUUGUGGAAAUUGUUAAACGUGAGAAUUGGGUAUUGGUUUAUCUUGAGUUUGUGUGUUUGUUGAACCUGAGUUUGUGUCUUGUUUGAACUUGAGAUUGUGCUGUUUUGUGAUCUUGAAUUUGUGUGGGGUUUUUUUAACUUGAGUUUUUGGUGUUUUUGAAUUUGAGUUUCUGUUGUUUUUGAACAUGAGGUUGUGGCAAUUGUUAAACUUGAGAUUUGGGUGUUGGUUGAAAUUAAGUUUCGGCAUUUUUGAACUUGAGUUUGUGGUGUUUUUGAACUUGAAUUUGUGUAUUUUUUGAACCUGAGUUUGUUGCAAUUUUUGAACUUGAGUUUGUUGAACUUGAGUUUUUGGCAAUUGUUUAAUGUGAAUAUAGGUCAUUUGUUGAAUUUGAAAGUUUGUCAUUUUUUGAACUUAAGCUUGUGGUGUUUGAUGAACUUGAGUUUGUGGCAAUUGUUAACCUUGAGUCUGUAUUUUUCUCUGAACUUUACUUGGUGGCAAUUGUUGAACUUGAGUUUGUGGCGUUUGUUGUACUUGAGUUUGUGGCGUGUUUGAACUUGAGUUUCUGUUGGUUUUGAACUUGAGGUUGUGGAAAUUGUUAAACUUGAGAUUUGGGAUUUGGUUGAACUUGAGUUUGUGAAUCGUGUUUGAACUUGAGUUUGUGGUGUUUUUGAUCUUGAGCUUUUGUGUUUUUUGAACUGAAGUUUGUGGCAAUUGUUAAACUUGUGACUUAGGUGUUGGUUGAACUUGAGUCUGUGUUGUUUCUAACUUGAGUUUGUGGUGUGUCUGAACUUGAGUUUUUGUUUUUUUUUAACUUGAGGUUGUGGAAAUUGUUAAACUUGCGAAGUGGGCAUUGGUUGAACUUGAGUUCGUGUGUUUGUUGAACUUGAGUUUUUGUCAUUAAGAACUUGAGUUUGUGGUGUUUUUGAACUUGAGGUUUUGGCAGAUGUUAAACUUGAUAUUUGGGUGUUGUUUGAACUUGAGUUUGUGUCGUGUUUGAACUUGAGUUUGUGUCGUGUUUGAACUUGAGGUUGUGGAAAUUGUUAAACGUGAGAAUUGGGUAUUGGUUAAACUUGAGUUUGUGUGUUUGUUGAACCUGAGUUUGUGUCGUGUUUGAACUUGAGAUUGUGCUGUUUUGUGAUCUUUGAAUUUUCUAGGAUGAUGCAAUGUCCAGCCAUCAACACAUUUGUGAAGGAAUUUUUACUCCCCAAAAGAGCGCCCCCCCAUGGCAGGAGAAAAAAUUCAAUUUUUUCUUGUCCCCUAAGGUGAAAAUACACAUUGUUGAGUGUCACGCCUAUACGCUUUGUCAUAUUGACACAAAAUUUGACAAUCACGUGUAUCUCAAUAAGAUCUAUGAAAAAGUCAAUGGGCACGUGUCUGUAAAAUGUACGGUUAAAGGGCUAUUUCGCAUUUUUUGCCGAUUCGCACACAUUGGAAUGUGACUAACUCCUCCUAAGGCUUUCGUCCCACUGACACCAAAUUUGCUCAGGCCAAUCUACACCCCAUGGCCAUUCAAAGUUGUAAAAAUCAUGACGCUGCAUCCCACGGUUUACGUUCUAGGGGGCGCCAAAGAUGACCCAAAAAUCCACAUUCUUAAAAGUCGUUUUGGCCACUGAGUGGCGCCAAAGGGAGUUGUCUAUUAACAGCAGACAAAGUAGAUAUGGCCACUGAGGGGCGCCAAAGGGAGUUGUCUAUUAAAUCUGAUGCUACAGAAAAAGUUAAAAGGCUCACAUUUUUGCUAUAUUAGUGACUUUAUGUCUUAAAUGGGCUCUUAAAGGGUUACAAAAAAUUACUUUCAAUGAAACAUUUGCUAGUUUUGAACAGGGCAGAAGUAAAAUAAGAGAUGUACAAAAAAAAAUCUGGAAAAAAUAUUAAUCCAACCUUACCCUAGCCCCAUAACCUAAUACCCGGGUAUUACCUUCAGGAAGCCCGAACACCCCAAAUAUUUUUUUUUCAUUUAUCUUUUUUUUUUUUCUAACUAACUCCAAAAGGUUGGAAAAGACUUCCUACAAAGGUUUUGGACAGUGAUUUUAACCCUCACGCAAAAAACCUUAAACCUUAACCUAGCCCCAUAACCUAAUACCCGGAUAUUACCUUCAGGAAGCCCGAACACCCCAAAUAUUUUUUUUUCAUUUAUCUUUUUUUUUUUUGUCUAACUAACUCCGAAAGGUUGGAAAAGACUUCCUACAAAGGUUUUGGACAGUGAUUUAAACCCUCACGCCAAAAACCUUAAACCUUACCCUAGCCCCAUUACCUAAUACUUAAACCUGAAGGGUAUUACCUUCAGGAAGCCCGAACACCCCAAAUAUUUUUUUUUUCAUUUUACAUUUUUUUUUUGGUGUAACCAACUCCAAAAGGUCUUAAUCUUGUUCCUUAAAAGGUUUUGGACAGUGAUUUUAACCCUAACGCCAAAAACCUUAAACCUUACCCUAAGCCCCAAAACCUAAUACCUUCAGGAAGCCCGAAAACCCAAAG
rnacentral:lncRNA from 1 species